AGAAUGGCCCAUAAAAUGCCCUGGGUUAACCUUGGAGAACCCAGCUCUUGAAAAGUGUCUAAAUUCAGUUGGGAAUUAGGUGUUUCAGCUGGCUUUUUGCCUAAGAGUGCCCCACUCUUAGUCAAAGUAAGUAUAUGGGAACGGUGUUUUUCUGUCUCCAACUUUGCAUUGUCUCCUCUCAGGCAGGUGCUGCCUCUUGGGACACAGAAGGCCACUGCUCUGUGCCCCAGAGCUUUCCCCAGGAGGAGUGCAGCAAUGUGGUGUCUGCUCUGACAUCCACCCCAGGAAAAUGAGAGUGCCAACAACAGACUUCAGGCCUUAGAGGAGAGUGAGSUGGGCAUGAUGUCUUCUUCCACACCAGAGACCUACACUUUGGUGCRGAUGCUGAAAUAUGUCGUGCUACCAAGAAAGGACAGCCCAAAGAAGAAGGACCAGAAUGAAGAAUUCAGGGUUUGGACAGAAGAGGCUUGGAAGAUUUCAUCAGGAAAAGACUUUCCUUGAGACUGUCCUACAUCAAAGAUACCAGACUCUCUGCACUGGCCCUGGGGGUCACGUCUGGAUUUUCAAGGAUUCUGUGCACUCUCCAAAGAGAUUAAGUCAGUUCAUGGGUCCAAGACGUA
rnacentral:lncRNA from 1 species